UCUGAGGGCCAGAGCUGAAUGAAGCCUCCAGAGAGGCCCCUCCGGAAGGCUGUACAUGGAGUCCCUUCACCCAGCCAUCCACUUCCUCCUCUAUUUGCUCGCCUACUCCUGUGUCUACUCGUGUUUGUAUUUGCUGGUUUAUUUUAUCACCAUCUUUACAGAAGACUAGGCGGCCAGCUGGAAAAGCCUCUUUGGGUAGAGAAGGCCCCGCCCACUGCCCGUGGCUCCCGAGGACUGGUCCAGGGCUUCCUCACGAAGGCACUGAAGCCCGGAGGCAGGGACAGGCCAGGCUAAGACGCCUGCUGGCUGCAGGGGCACGGUGCGCCUCUAGACGUCAAGCCUGGCUUUCACAGGCUCUCCGCUGCUCGCUUUGCCUCGACAAGGGCGGCACUGGCCUGGGCCAGGCUGCCCCCACCCGUGUCUGGCUUCUCUUUCUGCCCUGGUCGCUUCGGGCUGUCGGGCCUGUGGGAAGACCUUCAUCAUCGGGAAUGGCAGCCCAACGGCCCCGAAGUGACCCAUCCACUUAGUCAACGUGUGUGCAUUUCAAACGGCCUCGCUCUGCAGUCGCUCAAGUGCCCAAAGUUCUGAAGAAAGCCGAAGCUGGGGUGGGUGCGUGGACCCCUGCUGCCACACAGCUCAGGAUUCCCAUUAAGUGGGGGUUGUCUGCCAAUGCCUCCAACGUGAGUGUGUUUGUAGGCAGCCGUGAGUACUCUCGGGAGGGAGCGUGAGGGACACGAGAGGAGAUGGAGCGGGGAGAGAGGGGUGGAAAUUACGUAUAUACAGUAUUCAUGUAUGAAAUUCUCCAAAAAAAAGUAAGACAUAAAUAAAUACUGACUUCUU